AGUCGUGGGAGAAGCACCUUCGGGUGUGGACACCGGCGAAAGGGCGAGUAACGCGAUCGAACGUACCCCGAGGUGGGGGAUAGCGUCGGGAAACCGGCGGUAAUACCCCAUGUGCUCUACUGAGGAAAGCUCCGGCGCCUUGGGAGCGGCGAUCGUCCUAUCAGGUUGUUGGUGAGGUAACGGCUCACCAAGCCGAAGACGGGUAGCGGGUGUGAGAGCAUGACCCGCCGCAUCGGGACUGAGACACUGCCCGGACUCCUACGGGAGGCUGCAGUAACGAAUCUUCCGCAAUGCACGCAAGUGUGACGGAGCAAUGCCGCGUGUGGGAUGAAGCGGUUCCGCCGUGUAAACCACUGUCAGGGUCUAGGAAGAACUGACCAGACCCAGAGGAAGGGCCGGCUAAUCUCGUGCCAGCAGCCGCGGUAAGACGAGAGGCCCAAGCGUUAGGCGGAUUCACUGGGCUUAAAGGGUGCGUAGGCGGAUUGGCAAGCAUCUCGUGAAAUCCCUCGGCUCAACCGAGGAAUUGCGGGGUGAACUGCCUGUCUUGAGGAAGGCAGAGGCUGUCGGAACGUUCGGUGGAGCGGUGAAAUGCGUAGAUAUCGAACGGAACGCCGAAGGGGUAGCCAGGCAGAUGGGCCUUACCUGACGCUGAGGCACGAAAGCGUGGGGAUCAAACAGGAUUAGAUACCCUGGUAGUCCACGCCGUAAACGAUGUGCACUAG
rnacentral:rRNA from 1 species